GUGGCGGCUUCGGGGGGCUCGCUGAUUGGACAGUACGCCGAGCUAGCGCUAAAGCUUAGCCAGUUAGCCUGGCGGAAAGAAGGUGUAAGAUACAUUAACGCUUGGUACAUUGGUUACUGGCCAAAUAACACAGUUGGAUCGGUAUAUCUUCGGUUAAUUUGAAGGGUUAGCUGCUGCUCACGUGCAGUAGAAGCUUCUUCGCCGGGCGCAUUGACGUGGAUCGCGAUAAACAAGCAGACGAGGUGAGAGAUGUCCCACUACUCCUCAUCCCGUAGCUCGUCGCGGGCCACCGACUGUAAAGUGUACGUCGGUGACCUGGGCAAUGGCGCAGCGAAAGGCGAGCUGGAACGGGCUUUUAGCUACUAUGGCCCCCUUCGUACUGUGUGGGUUGCCCGGAACCCUCCUGGGUUCGCCUUUGUCGAGUAUGAGGACCCCAGAGAUGCUGAGGAUGCUGUGAAGGGAAUGGAUGGAAAGGUCUUGUGUGGUUCUAGAAUUCGCGUUGAGCUUUCAACCGGCAUGUCCAGGAAGGGUCGCGGGCGCCCAAGUCGUCGCCACUUUGACCCCCAAGACCGUUGCUACCAGUGUGGUGACCGUGGCCACUAUGCAUACGACUGCUACCGCUUCAACAAGAGGGGAGGUGGCCGACGUAGCAGGUCCCGCUCUCACUCCAGAUCUCGCUCCCGGUCCAGGUCCCGUGGCCGCCGCUACAAUUCCCGCUCUCGUAGCCGUAGCAAUGAACGUGGCAGUGGGCGACGCCGUUCUCCAUCGUACUCUAAGCGCAGAAGCAGGUCAGGCUCCCCAGCCCGCUCUAAUAAGUCCAGGACUCCUGCGAGGAGCCGCUCUAGGUCCCGGUCCAGGUCCGCCUCGGCUCCCCGCCGUCGCUCUGCGUCUGGCCCCAGGCGCCGCUCUGUGUCUGGCCCCAGGCGCCGAUCGGCCUCGCGCUCUCGCUCCCGUUCACCUAGCCACAAGAGGACAAGCGUGUGGUGGCAGCGGACCCCAGGGUCUGCCCGCUGCCGGCGGUCACGGCCUGCGGGAGGGUGACUUAAGCCCUGAGCUGAGAUCAGCCUCCGCCUGCAGCUGGCGUUAGAGUGAGAGAGAGCGAGAGAGAGAGGUCGACCGACCGACCGAGCGCUCCCCCCACAGUGAAUGGGCGACCGACGCACGCGCUCAGACCAGAACCGCCCGAGCACACACACAGUUGUUCUACUAGAGCCAGCCUUCAGGCCUGCCAGCGGGCGGACCCACACAGUCAGAGUCUCGACCACGACCUUCUUGAACCCCUCCCCCCCCCCCUCCCCUCCCCUUUCCCUUCCUCCACCCUCCUCUCCCCCUUCACCUUCCUACCUACCGGAGCUCUCCGGCCUCUGUCUUAGCUUAUGAGAGGGGGAGGGAGCGUGCUGAGGAGACAGCCGUCUUCAAGAGCCUCCCAGCGCAGUCUCUUCGAGUAGUAGUCAUCCGUCCUUCAGUGCUUUCGUCCUCCGCUUCAAUGUACUUGUUGUUUCUGGCUCAAAGUCGUUCCCGCACACCAAGCGCAAAGAGGAGCCCCACCCCUGCAGGCGACUGAACAUACCCAACCACACCCCAAUAACAUCCACCCUGAUACACACCCUAAUAACGCAGAGUAAUAACACACACCUAACCAAACCCUGACACACACGUUAUUAUAACACACCCAACCUCACGGUAAUAUAAAAUGCUAAUAACACAUUAACCCUAACCACACAACACAAACACAAAAAAAAUCUCCAUCUUCCCCCCCCCCCCCAAACAAAACUAGUCUCUCACAAACCAUCGUUUGCGGUUAUUUUGGCAGUUGAAAUUGGCACAUUGUAUGGACCUGGCUAGUUUUUAGUUUUUAAGUUAUGUGCUGAAUAUUAUCCUUAUGCUGAAUGGCACCCUUUAUUAUUUCUUUUUACACUUCCAAGGACCUUGCAAUAACUUGCUUGUAUUUCAAAGAGAAAUGUACAUUAUGGUCGAAUUGUUAGUUGGUAACAAAUCCUGAAGGUUUUUUUUGGUUUAAUUUAUGGAAUGAAACUCUUUCACACUGAAACAUGCUUAAACAAGACCCAACCUUAAUUGCUUGUUAUUGUGUUAUUAAUCCUCCGAUGCUGUUGUUUAUUAGGACUUUAUCUUAUGUUUUAUGGGAUGACCCGAACCCCCCCCCCCCCCCCCCCUAGGCUGUUCAGUUCCAGCCCCACCUCUGUCCCGUCGGGACUGGCCUGCAUGUCUUGGGACCAUGGUUACAUGUCGUCAUGGUUACGUGUCGCUGGCUCAUGGAGGAGGCCGACCCUAAGCAUGAAGUCUGGUCUUCUACUGCACUGCCCGUUUUACAUGUCCUCAGCCCACUGUCAACUGAUCGGGAUUUCUGCUGUUCAUUUGUUUGUGAUUUUUUUUUUUUUGUAUAGGUUUUUAGAGCUAUAGAGAUCUGGCUUUUGUUUUUGUAAGGGCUUGUUCUUAAAGGUUGGGUAUGAAAUUCUCUUUUCUGGUCAUUUUUGAAAAAUUACUUAAUCCGUAUCAUCCCCCACUUACAGCCACUGAGUUAGAAGUACUGACAUGAAAAUUCGAAAUGUCAUGAAAAAUGAAAGUCAAUCAUCUGUGGAACGGGCCGGGCUCGAAAAAAUCUCCAGCCAAUGAUUUCCACAACCACCGAGUGGCAUUGGACAGUAAGUACGUCAAUCAAACGGUCGUAUUGCACUCCCCCGCGCGUGACCCCUUCGUGCACGUACUCAAAGCGCGUGACCCAGAGCAAGCUUCUGUUGAUAUCCCGGGGUAGCUACUGGAGCUAGCUAAUGGCUCGCUCUCGCGCAUCUGUGUUCGCGCUCGUGCAUGAUUGCGCGUCCAUGUACUUGGAAUGGGUAGAGUCAGCAUUGAAGGAGAGUGGGUAGGUCCAUUUGAGUUGUGUAUUUUCAAAAUCUGCGGGCGUUUCGCAAAUCCCAUACCCAACCUUUUAAUAUUGGUUGACUCUCCCUGGCUCGCAAGUGGCAGUUAUUUUUGAAUAAAUUUCUUGGACAUGU